rnacentral:lncRNA from 10 species
GUGGGCGCUGACCUUGCGGGACUUCUCCAGCAGCUUGCUCACCGUGUUGCUGGUGGAGGCCUGGUACUUGGAGAGCUUGGUGAGGUCAUUCUGGAUGCCCUUCACGGAGCCCUCCAAACUGAUCUGUCGCUGCUCCAUCUUGUGCUGGUUCUCCUGCACAGCGUCUAGCAUGUUCACCAGCUUGUCCAGGAGCGUGAGCACCGUGACUGCGUUCACCUGCAUUGUGGCUCUGGAGACCUGGAAGCACUGCUAACUGUUCUCUCGAUUUUCUGACGCUCGGCCACAUCAACCUGUCAUACUAGUUGUGAGGAGAAGUCAAGGACAGUGACACAGCCAGCCAGUCUGAGGCAUUUUCCAUCAUCCUGAAGGAGUUGCCCUAUCCUGCUUUUCACUGGAGGGGGCAUGGAUGGGGGCUCCUGACACACUGACCUCUGUCAGUUCCUUCAGCACACCAGGCUAAUCCCCAGUCUUGCGCCUUUGGACCAG